AACGAACGCUGGCGGCGCGCUUAAUACAUGCAAGUCGAACGAGAAGGUGUAGCAAUACACUUGUAAAGUGGCGAACGGGUGAGGAAUACAUGGGUAACCUACCCUCGAGUGGGGAACAACCAGCCGAAAGGUUGGCUAAUACCGCGUACGCUUCCGGGUCUUCGGAUUCGGAAGGAAAGUCAUACCGUGGGUAUGACGCUCAAGGAUGGGCUCAUGUCCUAUCAGCUUGUUGGUAGGGAACGGCCUACCAAGGCUUCGACGGGUAGCUGGUCUGAGAGGACGAUCAGCCACACUGGCACUGCGACACGGGCCAGACUCCUACGGGAGCAGCAGUAAGGAAUAUUGCGCAAUGGGCGAAAGCCUGACGCAGCGACGCCGCGUGGGGGAUGAAGGUCUCGGAUUGUAAACCCCUUUCGGGAGGGAAGAUGGAACGAGCAAUCGUUCGGACGGUACCUCCAGAAGCAGCCACGGCUAACUUCGUGCCAGCCGCCGCCGUAAC
rnacentral:rRNA from 1 species